GGCACUCAGCAAAGAAUAAUGGCCUGGGGAGGAGACAGUGAGGAGGUACAGUCAACAGGCUUUACUGAUAGAUUUCUCAUGAAGGAGAGAUGAUUCUAUCAAACCUUCCACACUAAUUCCUGGAGUACUGGCUGUAUAUGCAGGCUGCCCCUCAGGACCUGUGCCAGGCUGCCUGAACCUGAGAUGCCAAUUCAUCUUUAGUUUUUUCCUCUAUGAAGUGGCAGUGAAAAAAAUCUGUCCUGCCCACCUCCCAGGAAUGCACAGAGGGGAAGGAUGUUGAGGGGAGGAAGGAAGAAUUUCCUUCUUCCUCUCUUUCUACUUCACAUCAUGGAUGUUGCAAAGGCAAACAAUUUUUGGGCAUCAUGACCUAGUGCAGAGUAUAUGCACAAGGCAUCUUUGGUUCAGAACCUGAGGCUGUCUGAGCAUGAAGGGAGGUGACAUCAUUGGAGUCCUCUGGGAUGAAACAGAGCCAGGUGCCUAGAGCCAUAGGGCAUCUACGGGGCGCUUUGACAACGGCUACUGUUCGUGUGUUGACACUGUCUUGAUUGCUUUGCAAAAACUAUCUCUUAAUCCAUUUGACCUUAUGAGGUUAGAAGUACUAUCUUCACCUUAUAAAUGAAGGAACCAAGGCUCAGAGAGGUUAAGUAACUUGCCCAAGGUCACAGAGCUAGGAAGUGGUAGAUUUGGGCUUCAAACCAGAUCUUCUGAACUCCAAAUGGAGUCUUAACUACUUUUGUGGGAUGGAGAUUAGAGAGCAUUUGCAAAUAAUGAAACUAUUGGUUAGGUGUUUCUUUUUCACUUCUGCUACAGAAUGAUUUCUGUGGGCAAACCUCAGUAAUUGAUAGAGAGCCUAUUCUAAUUAUACAUAGUUUAUUCACAAGGCCAACAAGAUUAUAAAAACCUUUUUAAAAAUAAUAUCUGCUCCAGUUAGCUAUGGGCACAGUACACCAACCUAAAGUGUAAAAUAGAAAUCAUUAUACUAUGCUCAUGGAUUCCAUGGGUCAGGACUUGGGACAGGGCACAGUGGGAACGGUUUGUCUCUGUUCCAUAAAGCCUCAGGCCUCAGCUGGGAAAACCAAACAACUGGAGGUGACUCCAUGACCGGGGCUGGAAUAAUCUAAUGGCUUCUGCGCUCAAAUGUCUGGGCUGGGAAUGACUGAAAGGCUGGGUGAGCUGGGAUUGUGGCCCACAUUGCCUCCACGCAGCCUCUCCAUGUGACUUGGGGUUCCUUACAACAUGGCGGCCUCAGCUAGUUAGACUUCACCCAGGGCAGCUCAGAGCUCCAAGAGCUAGUGUGCCAGUAGAAACUUCCAGUGCAAAAGGUAGAAACUGCAUGAUGAAUCAGUAACCAUACAGUCCCCCUCUGUGACUUAAUCUUCCUUAGUAUGACAAGUCUAAUAAAUCAGCCCUGUCCUCUGGAUGGGAUGGACUGAUCAGCAACAAGUGAUUCAUGAUCCUUUGCCUAAUAUAAGGAACUGUUACCAUUGAUUCUUUGCUCAGUCAACUGCAAAAAAAAAAAAAAAAAAAAAAAAAAAAA
rnacentral:lncRNA from 1 species